GAUGAAGAACGUAGCGAAAUGCGAUAAGUAAUGUGAAUUGCAGAAUUCAGUGAAUCAUCGAAUCUUUGAACGCACCUUGCGCUCCUUGGUAUUCCGAGGAGCAUGCCUGUUUGAGUGUCAUUAAUAUAUCAACCCUUUUGGUUGAAUGUGGGUUUGCUGGCCGCUUUCGAGGUCAGCUCUCCUUAAAUGCAUUAGCGGACAACUUUUCGCCAAAUGCUCAUUGGUGUGAUAAUUAUCUACGCUAUUGACAUGAAGCAGGUUCAGCUUCUAAUAGUCCAUUGACUUGGACAAAUUUAUUAAUGUGACCUCAAAUCAGGUAGGAUUACCCGCUGAACUUAAGCAUAUCAAUAAGCGGAGGA
rnacentral:misc_RNA from 1 species